AGGGAUAAUGCCUUGUCUUCUCACUCUGGCUGUUAUUCCAAUGUUAGGUGCGCAGAGAACCUCCAUUCUUAGCCUGGAUGAAGAUUAAGGUUUGCAGCCAACCAACCACCAGCUUCCUGGAGGGCACAUUUCCAUGGAGAACUUGUCCACCUGAUAAAAUGAAGUUCCGUCACAGCAGCAGUCACUUCAAUCAACCAGCUUCUCUGCUGCCUUCUGAAUGUUCUUGUGGAUGACACAAGACUCCCUGG
rnacentral:lncRNA from 1 species